UGCUUGCUUCAGCAGUAAUAUACUAACAUUGUAAUGAUACAGAGACAAUUAGCAUGGCCCCUGUGCAAGGAUGACACGAAAAAGAAAAAAAAAAUACUUUGCUAU
ensembl:snRNA U6 U6 spliceosomal RNA